rnacentral:rRNA from 1 species
GACGAACGCUGGCGGCGUGCCUAAUACAUGCAAGUUGAGCGAUGAAGAUUGGUGCUUGCCCCAAUUUGAAGAGCAGCGAACGGGUGAGUAACGCGUGGGGAAUCUGCCUUUGAGCGGGGGACAACAUUUGGAAACGAAUGCUAAUACCGCAUAACAACUUUAAACAUAAGUUUUAAGUUUGAAAGAUGCAAUUGCAUCACUCAAAGAUGAUCCCGCGUUGUAUUAGCUAGUUGGUGAGGUAAAGGCUCACCAAGGCGAUGAUACAUAGCCGACCUGAGAGGGUGGUCGGCCACCAUGGGAAUGGGACAAGGCCCAAACUCCUACGGGGGGGAGCAGGAGGGAAUCUUCGGACAUGGACGGAAGUCUGACCGAACAAAGCCGCGUUGGUGGAGAAGGUUUUCGGAUCGGAAAACUCUGUUUGUAGGGAAGAACGUUGGUGGGAGUGGAAAGCUCAUCAAGUGACGGUAACUACCCAGAAAGGGACGGCUAACUACGUG